rnacentral:rRNA from 1 species
GGGGAAUAUUGGACGAUGGGGGCAACCCUGAUCCAGCAAUGCCGCGUGUGUGAAGAAGGUCUUCGGAUUGUAAAGCACUUUCGACGGGGACGAUGAUGACGGUACCCGUAGAAGAAGCCCCGGCUAACUUCGUGCCAGCAGCCGCGGUAAUACGAAGGGGGCUAGCGUUGCUCGGAAUGACUGGGCGUAAAGGGCGUGUAGGCGGUUUACACAGUCAGAUGUGAAAUCCCCGGGCUUAACCUGGGAGCUGCAUUUGAUACGUGUAGACUAGAGUGUGAGAGAGGGUUUGUGGAAUU